GAUGAUAUAGCUCAGUAGCAAAGUGCCUGUGCCUGCUUACCACGCACAAGGCCCUGGGUUCAAUUCCCAGUGUCACA
rnacentral:tRNA from 1 species